UACGUAGGGGGGCAAGCGUUGUCCGGAUUUAUUGGGUUUAAAGGGUGCGUAGGCGGUCUUAUAAGUCAGUGGUGAAAUACGGCAGCUCAACUGUCGAGGUGCCAUUGAUACUGUAGGACUUGAGUACAGACGAGGUAGGCGGAAUUGACGGUGUAGCGGUGAAAUGCUUAGAUAUCGUCAAGAACACCGAUAGCGAAGGCAGCUUACUAGGCUGUAACUGACGCUGAGGCACGAAAGUGUGGGGAUCAAACAGG
rnacentral:rRNA from 1 species